rnacentral:rRNA from 1 species
AAUGAACGCUGGCGGCAGGCCUAACACAUGCAAGUCGAACGGAUCCUUCGGGAUUAGUGGCGGACGGGUGAGUAACGCGUGGGAACGUGCCCUUUGGUUCGGAAUAGCCUCGGGAAACUGGGAGUAAUACCGGAUAAGCCCUUCGGGGGAAAGAUUUAUCGCCAAAGGAUCGGCCCGCGUUGGAUUAGGUAGUUGGUGGGGUAAUGGCCUACCAAGCCGACGAUCCAUAGCUGGUUUGAGAGGAUGAUCAGUCACACUGGGACUGAGACACGGCCCAGACUCCUACGGGAGGCAGCAGUGGGGAAUAUUGGACAAUGGGCGCAAGCCUGAUCCAGCAAUGCCGCGUGAGUGAUGAAGGCCUUAGGGUUGUAAAGCUCUUUUACCCGGGAAGAUAAUGACUGUACCGGGAGAAUAAGCCCCGGCUAACUCCGUGCCAGCCGCCGCAGUAAUAC